rnacentral:lncRNA from 1 species
GAGAAACUCUCUGGCCUGUUUCUGAAAAGAUUACUUCUCAUCCCUCCCCUCCCUUGACACCCCCUCCUACCAAUGCCCGCUUUCCCCUUUAAAUAUUGAUAGUAUCACACUAGCCGCUUCCUAAUGUAACUGUGGCUGGCACUCUGCAGAGGCAAGGGGAGCUGCAGGUUCUGUAGCAGGAAAAUAUGUUUCCAAAUCACCAAAGCCAAGAGUUUAGUAGAAGCAACACAAUUUUUCCCUGCUUCAUCUUUGUAGAGGU